UACGAAGGGGGCUAGCGUUGCUCGGAAUCACUGGGCGUAAAGGGUGCGUAGGCGGGUCUUUAAGUCAGGGGUGAAAUCCUGGAGCUCAACUCCAGAACUGCCUUUGAUACUGAAGAUCUUGAGUUCGGGAGAGGUGAGUGGAACUGGCGAGUGUAGAGGUGAAAUUCGUAGAUAUUGCAAGAACACCAGUGGCGAAGGCGGCUCACUGGCCCGAGUACUGACGCUGAGGCACGAAAGCGUGGGGAGCAAACAGG
rnacentral:rRNA from 1 species